GUCAUGUAGAUACUGCAGUUUGGAACUGGCAGGACCUUUCAUAUGCCCCAACAGUUCAUAAACAAUGUAGAUUUCGGGGUGAGCCCAGCUCUCUCUUAUCAGCAUCACCCCAGCUCAUUCUCCAUUUAGGCUACUCAACAGCUGCCACUGGCAGGACAGGAUGCAGGACAGGACGUAUGGGCAGCUCUCCCGCUCCCUCGUCCUAUGGCCGACGCACCAGCACCCAUGCCUAUCGGACCAGCUCCACUGUGCUGCCCAGUCUAGGGGUGGGGCUCACUACCCCAAGUACUGCAGCCUGUGAGAGGGGUAGCAUGACUGGGGGCCAGCUCUUCUGAGGACCACAUGUGGAGAGAAGUGAAGCAGGGGUUCACACCAUCUCUCUCUCUCUCUCUCUCUCUCUCUCUCUCUCUCUCUCUCUCUCUCUCUCUCUCUCUCUCCCUCUCUCUCUUUCUCUCCCUCUCUCCCUCCCUCCCUCUCUCUCCCUCUCUCCCUCCUUCCCUCCCCCUCUUUCCCUCCCCCAUCCUUCCUCCCUCCCUCCCUCUCCAUCUCACAGCAGAUGAGAGACAAGUACUCAUUCCCAUGAUCUCACCGUCGAAACCCAGCGUACCUGUGCUGCCUCCAUAGGACCAGCUCUACUGUCUGCCUAGGUGAUGAGCUGACGUGCAGACUACAACCAUACAAUAAUAAGAAAGUGCAUAAGGAAGAUGCCACAUAACUGCCACGAACCUGCUAUGCCCUCUGAUUUUCUUACGGACAGAGCUAUUAUGCACCAUUACCUGGAGUUCAGUGCCAAAACAGAAAGCAAGGAGGCACAGUGGAUACAAAUUUUCCUCCAGUGUCUGGACAUUAUAAAUAACUCAGGAAACCCCAAGGAAGAGAAACCAGGAAGAGGCAGAAAGAAUAAAGGACACCGAGGAAACAAAGCACUCUAAAUCAACGUAAUCAAUGCUCAUAUGGACUUACAGAGACUGAGAUGCCAUUUACUGAGGCUCAGCAGAGGACGUGAACUCAGCACUUAGAAUAACCGGGCAUCUGGAGAGCUGUCACAUGCUCCCUGUUUCUAUUCACCACAUUUGCUAACGAGGACUCUAUGGAGGGACCCAUGGCUCCGGCCGCAUGUAUAACAGAGGAUGGCAUUUUCUGGCAUCAAUAGGAGAAGCCCUUGGCCCUGUGAAGGCUCUUUUCCCCAGGCAAUUUGAAAGAAGAAAACCAUGGAAAUGGAGAGGCGAGGGUGUUGACCACGGGAAAUCAGAGACUCCUCAGAGAAUGAGGAAGAAUGCUGAGUGAAAUGAAUGGUUCCAUCUUUGAAAAAUAGCAUCUGGCUCCUGUGUGAAGAUAAUAUCAUUGCAGGCAAGAUCAGAAUAGAGAGACGAAUCUGAAGGCUGGUUUCCUAAUACAGCUAUGAUAUUAGAAACAGGGGCAAGAGUGGUAGAAGAUGGGAAAAGGGACAUGGGAAUCGAGAUCCAUUUAAAGAAAGUGCUGGCAAGCUUUGGUUAUUGAAGCAAGGUGCAGAAAAUGGAGAUUUGAAAGUAAGAGACUGAAAAAAAAUGUUUUGAUGUAAGAUACGAAAGUAGAAUUCUAGAUAAUUGUAACAAUUUUAUCACGAGUAAAUCACAUUAGAGCUCACA